NGCAGUAGGGAAUCUUCGGCAAUGGACGAAAGUCUGACCGAGCAACGCCGCGUGAGUGAAGAAGGCUUUCGGAUCGUAAAACUCUGUUGGUAGAGAAGAACGUUGGUGAGAGUGGAAAGCUCAUCAAGUGACGGUAACUACCCAGAAAGGGACGGCUAACUACGUGCCAG
rnacentral:rRNA from 1 species